rnacentral:rRNA from 1 species
UACGGAGGGUGCAAGCGUUAUCCGGAUUCACUGGGUUUAAAGGGUGCGUAGGUGGGCUAGUAAGUCCGCUGUGAAAUCUCGAGGCUCAACUUCGAGCUGUCGGUGGAAACUGUCUGGCUAGAGUCCGGAAGAGGAGAAUGGAAUUCCUGGUGUAGCGGUGAAAUGCGCAGAUAUCAGGAAGAACACCCGUGGCGAAGGCGGUUCUCUGGGACGGUACUGACGCUGAGACGCGAAAGCGUGGGGAGCGAACAGG